rnacentral:rRNA from 1 species
AGAAUCAACGCUGGCGGCGUGCCUCAGACAUGCAAGUCGAACGCGAAAGGCUCCUUCGGGGGCCGAGUAGAGUGGCGCACGGGUGAGCAACACGUAGGUAAUUUGCCUUUGGGUGGGGAAUAACUCAGGGAAACUUGAGCUAAUACCGCAUAAUGCAGCGGCUCGACAUCGAGACAGUUGUUAAAGCGGGGGAUCGCAAGACCUCGCGCCUAAAGAGAAGCCUGCGGCAGAUUAGCUAGUUGGUAGGUAAUGGCCUACCAAGGCGAUGAUCU